GGGGGGGGGGGGCCAUACUGCUCGUCGACGCACGGCGAAAGGUUCUUCCACUCUUCAAGUGAGUGGCGAACGGGUGAGUAACACGUGGACAACCUGCCUCAAGGCUGGGGAUAACAUUUGGAAACAGAUGCUAAUACCGAAUAAAACUUAGUGUCGCAUGACACAAAGUUAAAAGGCGCUUCGGCGUCACCUAGAGAUGGAUCCGCGGUGCAUUAGUUAGUUGGUGGGGUAAAGGCCUACCAAGACAAUGAUGCAUAGCCGAGUUGAGAGACUGAUCGGCCACAUUGGGACUGAGACACGGCCCAAACUCCUACGGGAGGCUGCAGUAGGGAAUCUUCCACAAUGGGCGAAAGCCUGAUGGAGCAACGCCGCGUGUGUGAUGAAGGCUUUCGGGUCGUAAAGCACUGUUGUAUGGGAAGAACAGCUAGAAUAGGAAAUGAUUUUAGUUUGACGGUACCAUACCAGAAAGGGACGGCUAAAUACGUGCCAGCAGCCGCGGUAAUACGUAUGUCCCGAGCGUUAUCCGGAUUUAUUGGGCGUAAAGCGAGCGCAGACGGUUUAUUAAGUCUGAUGUGAAAGCCCGGAGCUCAACUCCGGAAUGGCAUUGGAAACUGGUUAACUUGAGUGCAGUAGAGGUAAGUGGAACUCCAUGUGUAGCGGUGGAAUGCGUAGAUAUAUGGAAGAACACCAGUGGCGAAGGCGGCUUACUGGACUGCAACUGACGUUGAGGCUCGAAAGUGUGGGUAGCAAACAGGAUUAGAUACCCUGGUAGUCCACACCGUAAACGAUGAACACUAGGUGUUAGGAGGUUUCCGCCUCUUAGUGCCGAAGCUAACGCAUUAAGUGUUCCGCCUGGGGGAGUACGACCGCAAGUUGAAACUCAAAGGAAUUGACGGGGACCCGCACAAGCGGUGGGAGCAUGUGGUUUAAUUCGAAGCAACGCGAAGAACCUUACCAGGGUCUUGACAUCCUUUGAAGCUUUAAGAGAUAGAAUGUUCUCUUCGGAACAAAGUUGACAGGUGGUGCUUGGUCGUCGUCAGCUCGUAG
rnacentral:rRNA from 1 species